CACUGUGUAUGGCAUGCUGCACUAAGUUUCUUGCUUUUAUGCUCUCACGCACUCUUUCUCCAUUCCCCUCUCUCUUCUUCCAUCUGCUGGAGCUGCUCGCCUUUCUGUCGGGGACACCGAAGCAUUCAUGCGGCUGAGAGCCAUUCUAUUAUUCAGCUAUAAGUUCUGGAUGACAAAGGAAAGAGAAGAGGGGCAAAUCACCCACUGAAGAGGAAGAAAAUAGCCACACAUUUUGAUGCCUGGAGGAUGAAACCUCCUAUGUUAUUUCCUUCCGUCUUUCUCUCUAUGUCCAUUUUGAUUAAUGGACAUCAUUAGAAAUAGACACAGGCUAUCAGAACUUGAAUGAAUCAGGCAGCUGCAGUUACCCACGAUGCUCUGCAUAGUCGGAGCAGUAUAGAGUGGUGCAGCUUUAAUGACAAAUCGAAAUGACAGAAUAUGUUUGGAAAAAAAAUCCAUGGCAACCAUGGCUGCAAAGGACGGCAAUCGAUAUCGUUUUGGUUAUGCAGCAGCUACAAGUUUGAACUGAGGAGGACAGAGAGCCAAAUAGAAAGGAGGAUGGAUAUGAUGUCCACCUGACUCAUUCUCUCCUGCUUGCUGUGUUGCAGUAAUGGCCCGGCUGUGGACAACAAACAUAUCCAUCCAUAUGACCCCUGAGACGGAGGCCUGAUGAUAAUUCCCAAAACACACUGCACUCGCACACACACAUGCACAUGCAUAGAGAGAGAGCACAGUGUGAGAGAGAGACACUCCCACACGCCCUUACCAGCACUGUGUUAUUUUAAACCAGCACAUUCCCUUAAAAUAAAAAGAAGAAAUAAAGAGGUGAAGUCUAUUUCAAAAGCAAACUCCCACACCUGGAGGACCUGUCAAGCACUGUCUGCUAUUGAGCUCCAGCACUAUAUCAAGCUAAUGGGGGGAAAAGUGGGUCAACAAGAAUUAUUCAUGAGGUUCCUCCAUUUAAAAGCAGACACUUUGUGUAUGUCUCAGAGAAAAAUAGAAAAAGUCUCAGACAACAUGGUUGAUGAGACACAUAUCUGAAUUAUAAAUCACACAAGUCAUUAGUUCAACCUGCUACUACAACUGAUGCUACCCGUAAUCGAUAAGCUAACAGCAUUCAGUUAGACAGAAGACGAGGCUAAACUACAAAAUGAUAACUAUUCGAUAUUCAUGGCAUGUUUAUUCAGCUUUAGUAUUUGCACAUCCUUUUUCAUGAAAAGAUUUUUAUGCAACAGAAUGGGGGCGGACUUAAUACUGGCUAUUCAAUAACCAAAAUUCACUUGCUUCAGUUACGACACACAGGAAGGAAAUUCUUUAAUAUGCAAUAUGGCCAAAAGACAGUUAUGAGAUUAAAUGGAGAGCACUGGAGACUUAAGUUAAGACUUAAGGAGGCUUAAGUUCUGUUUCUCCAAUUAUUCUCUGAGAAAAGACUACAAUAAUUUCAGAAGGGACCUGAGCAAUGUCUUAAAGGAAUAGUUUAUCCAAAAAUGAAAAUUACCCCAUGAUUUACACACUCUCAAGUCAUCCUAGGUGUAUAUGAUUUUAUUCUUUCAGACGAAUAUUAUCAGAGUUAUAUUAAAAAAUGUCAUGACUCUUAGAAGCUUUAUAAUGGCAAUGAAUGGGGGUUGAGAUUUUGUAGCACAAAAAAAUGGCAUCCAUCCAUCAUAAAAAGUGCUCCACACAGCACCAGCGGGUUAAUAAAGGACUUCUGAAGUGAAUCGAUGCAUUUGUGUAAGAAAAAUAUCCAUAUUGAAAACUUUAGAAA
ensembl:lncRNA